rnacentral:misc_RNA from 1 species
GAUGAAGAACGCAGCGAAAUGCGAUACGUAACGUGAAUUGCAGAAUUCAGUGAAUCAUCGAAUCUUUGAACGCAUAUUGCGCUCUUUGGUAUUCCGAAGAGCAUGCUUGUUUGAGUAUCAGUAAACACCUCAACCUCUUCUUGAUUUUUCAAAAGGAGGGUGGACUUGAGCUAUCCCAACAACCUUUACCGGUCGGCGGGCGGCUUGAAAUGCAGGUGCAGCUGGACUUUUAUCUGAGCUAAAAGCAUAUCUAUUUAGUCCUCGUCAAACAGGAUUAUUACUUUUGCUGCAGCUAACAUAAAGGAUAAUUGUCCUCUUUGCUGACUGAUGCAGGAUUUUACGACACUUUAUGUGUUGUUCAACUCGAUCUCAAAUCAAGUAAGACUACCCGCUGAACUUAAGCAUAUCAAUAAGCGGAGGA